rnacentral:rRNA from 1 species
AUACAUGCAGUCGAGCGAACAGAUAAGGAGCUUGCUCCUUUGACGUUAGCGGCGGACGGGUGAGUAACACGUGGAUAACCUACCUAUAAGACUGGGAUAACUUCGGGAAACCGGAGCUAAUACCGGAUAACAUAUUGAACCGCAUGGUUCAAUAGUGAAAGGCGGCUUUGCUGUCACUUAUAGAUGGAUCCGCGCCGUAUUAGCUAGUUGGUAAGGUAACGGCUUACCAAGGCAACGAUACGUAGCCGACCUGAGAGGGUGAUCGGCCACACUGGAACUGAGACACGGUCCAGACUCCUACGGGAGGCAGCAGUAGGGAAUCUUCCGCAAUGGGCGAAAGCCUGACGGAGCAACGCCGCGUGAGUGAUGAAGGUCUUCGGAUCGUAAAACUCUGUUAUCAGGGAAGAACAAAUGUGUAAGUAACUGUGCACAUCUUGACGGUACCUGAUCAGAAAGCCACGGCUAACUACGUGCCAGCAGCCGCGGUAAUACGUAGGUGGCAAGCGUUAUCCUGGAAUUAUUGGGCGUAAAGCGCGCGUAGGCGGUUUUUUAAGUCUGAUGUGAAAGCCCACGGCUCAACCGUGGAGGGUCAUUGGAAACUGGAAAACUUGAGUGCAGAAGAGGAAAGUGGAAUUCCAUGUGUAGCGGUGAAAUGCGCAGAGAUAUGGAGGAACACCAGUGGCGAAGGCGACUUUCUGGUCUGUAACUGACGCUGAUGUGCGAAAGCGUGGGGAUCAAACAGGAUUAGAUACCCUGGUAGUCCACGCCGUAAACGAUGAGUGCUAAGUGUUAGGGGGUUUCCGCCCCUUAGUGCUGCAGCUAACGCAUUAAGCACUCCGCCUGGGGAGUACGACCGCAAGGUUGAAACUCAAAGGAAUUGACGGGGACCCGCACAAGCGGUGGAGCAUGUGGUUUAAUUCGAAGCAACGCGAAGAACCUUACCAAAUCUUGACAUCCUUUGACCGCUCUAGAGAUAGAGUCUUCCCCUUCGGGGGACAAAGUGACAGGUGGUGCAUGGUUGUCGUCAGCUCGUGUCGUGAGAUGUUGGGUUAAGUCCCGCAACGAGCGCAACCCUUAAGCUUAGUUGCCAUCAUUAAGUUGGGCACUCUAAGUUGACUGCCGGUGACAAACCGGAGGAAGGUGGGGAUGACGUCAAAUCAUCAUGCCCCUUAUGAUUUGGGCUACACACGUGCUACAAUGGACAAUACAAAGGGCAGCUAAACCGCGAGGUCAAGCAAAUCCCAUAAAGUUGUUCUCAGUUCGGAUUGUAGUCUGCAACUCGACUACAUGAAGCUGGAAUCGCUAGUAAUCGUAGAUCAGCAUGCUACGGUGAAUACGUUCCCGGGUCUUGUACACACCGCCCGUCACACCACGAGAGUUUGUAACACCCGAAGCCGGUGGAGUAACCAUUUAUGGAGCUAGCCGUCGAAG